CCUACGGGAGGCAGCAGUGAGGAAUAUUGGACAAUGGGCGCAAGCCUGAUCCAGCCAUGCCGCGUGCAGGAAGACGGUCCUAUGGAUUGUAAACUGCUUUUAUACAGGAAGAAACACCUCUACGUGUAGAGACUUGACGGUACUGUAUGAAUAAGCAUCGGCUAACUCCGUGCCAGCAGCCGCGGUAAUACGGAGGAUGCAAGCGUUAUCCGGAAUCAUUGGGUUUAAAGGGUCCGUAGGCGGUUUAAUAAGUCAGUGGUGAAAGCCCAUCGCUCAACGAUGGAACGGCCAUUGAUACUGUUAAACUUGAAUUAUUAGGAAGUAACUAGAAUAUGUAGUGUAGCGGUGAAAUGCUUAGAGAUUACAUGGAAUACCAAUUGCGAAGGCAGGUUACUACUAAUAUAUUGACGCUGAUGGACGAAAGCGUGGGGAGCGAACAGGAUUAGAUACCCUGGUAGUCCACGCCGUAAACGAUGGAUACUAGCUGUUCGGAGCAAUCUGNGUGNGUAGAGAAGAGAGUAAGUAUACCACCGUCGGGUAGGUACGGUUCGUCGAAGAAGUAGAAACGUAACGAAAGUAGUAAGUUAGUACGGACGUAGAGACGUUAGCCGACGGACGACGACGAGGGGAGGUAGGG
rnacentral:rRNA from 1 species